AUGGGAGCUUGCUCCCUGAAGUCAGCGGCGGACGGGUGAGUAACACGUGGGCAACCUGCCUGUAAGACUGGGAUAACUCCGGGAAACCGGGGCUAAUACCGGAUAAUUCUUUCCCUCACAUGAGGGAAAGCUGAAAGAUGGUUUCGGCUAUCACUUACAGAUGGGCCCGCGGCGCAUUAGCUAGUUGGUGAGGUAACGGCUCACCAAGGCGACGAUGCGUAGCCGACCUGAGAGGGUGAUCGGCCACACUGGGACUGAGACACGGCCCAGACUCCUACGGGAGGCAGCAGUAGGGAAUCUUCCGCAAUGGACGAAAGUCUGACGGAGCAACGCCGCGUGAGUGAUGAAGGUUUUCGGAUCGUAAAACUCUGUUGUUAGGGAAGAACAAGUACCGGAGUAACUGCCGGUACCUUGACGGUACCUAACCAGAAAGCCACGGCUAACUACGUGCCAGCAGCCGCGGUAAUACGUAGGUGGCAAGCGUUGUCCGGAAUUAUUGGGCGUAAAGCGCGCGCAGGCGGUUCCUUAAGUCUGAUGUGAAAGCCCCCGGCUCAACCGGGGAGGGUCAUUGGAAACUGGGGAACUUGAGUGCAGAAGAGAAGAGUGGAAUUCCACGUGUAGCGGUGAAAUGCGUAGAGAUGUGGAGGAACACCAGUGGCGAAGGCGACUCUUUGGUCUGUAACUGACGCUGAGGCGCGAAAGCGUGGGGAGCAAACAGGAUUAGAUACCCUGGUAGUCCACGCCGUAAACGAUGAGUGCUAAGUGUUAGAGGGUUUCCGCCCUUUAGUGCUGCAGC
rnacentral:rRNA from 2 species